rnacentral:lncRNA from 1 species
CCCUAAUUGCAACUUGGUAUUUAAGUUCAUUGUAAAGGCUGUUUGCUCGUGGGUUAGGAUAUCUGCCUGCUGAAGCCUUGGGGAAUGGAGUGGCAGGAGCACAGUGGAGCUUUUUGUUAUGAUUUAAAAGAACUGCUGGAGCAAACUAGACAAUGUGGGGCUCGGGAUCCCAGCUCGGUGAAGCUGACUGGGAAGGAGGUUGGGAUCCACCUGGGUGCUUGCAUGUGCAAGCAGAAGCAGGUUUUUGGAAGCACUCUGGUAUCAUGGAGCUCCAUGAGAUGCAACAGGAGAGGCAAAAGGAAUGGAAAAGCCAUUUGAGACUGCUCCUGGCAGCACUGCAGGAUCUGCAAAGCCACAGGAAAGUCGGGAGGGUACUGAAGGAGGAGCAGCCUGCGCAGGAACCGCAGCAGUGGGAAGCACAGGCUGGCAGCGACAGCAUCCGGGGAGGUCUCUGUGCUAUGAGGAGAGCAGCAGGGAUGAAAUGCACUAACCCUUCUCAAGGAUGGCUGCUGGGUAUCCUGGAGGGCUAUGUUGGAGCAGGCUGCUGCACACUGAGGUCUGUCUGUACCUCGGUGGAUCCCUCACCAGCCCUUCAAGUCAGACAAGAUCUGCAGCAAAGUCCUAAUGGCUACACUCAGGCUUUCUCCAGCAUAAUUUGCCAGUGUCUAAACGUAUGUAAAAUAAGUUCUGAUGACACCUUUCCUUAUGAAUUAGCAGGUCUUGCUGACACAAAUCAGGAACUCAAUACAAUAUUCAGCAAGCACAUUAAAUCUCCUUCUAACAUGCUGCAUGCUGAGACACUCUUCGUUAUUACCUUAAAGUACCAGAAGCUGGAAAAAUGCCAGCUUCUCCCCUCUGAUGGCAACAACAAUGACAUAGACAGAAAUAAUUAGCUCUCUGCUACUCAGCUGGUGUGGAUGCUGCUGCUCUUCAAAGCACGUUUCUCUCCCUUUAGCUGCUAUGCAGAAAUCCUUGAUAAUUAAUCAGCUCUUGGUGACACUGAAACACUAAUAAAUCCUCAAGAGUUGCAUUUAAUGUGUUGUGC